GGGGGAGUAGCUCAGUUGGGAGAGCGCCUGCCUUGCAAGCAGGAGGUCGGCGGUUCGAAUCCGCUCUUCUCCACCA
rnacentral:tRNA from 1 species